rnacentral:rRNA from 1 species
UACGGAGGGUGCAAACGUUGCUCGGAAUCAUUGGGCGUAAAGCGCGCGUAGGCGGCCGCUUAAGUCGGAUGUGAAAGCCCCUGGCUCAACUGGGGAAGUGCACCCGAAACUGAGUGGCUUGAGUACUAAAGAGGGUCGCGGAAUUCCCGGUGUAGAGGUGAAAUUCGUAGAUAUCGGGAGGAACACCGGUGGCGAAGGCGGCGACCUGGGUAGAUACUGACGCUGAGGCGCGAAAGCGUGGGGAGCAAACAGG